UACGUAGGGGGCAAGCGUUGUCCGGAUUUAUUGGGCGUAAAGGGCGCGUAGGCGGCCAUGCGUGUCUUCCGUGAAAUCCCUCGGCUCAACCGAGGACGUGCGGAAGAAACUGCAAGGCUCGAGUCCGGAAGAGGGGGGCGGAAUUCCCAGUGUAGCGGUGAAAUGCGUAGAUAUUGGGAGGAACACCAGUGGCGAAGGCGGUCCCCUGGGCCGGAACUGACGCUGAGGAGCGAAAGCGUGGGGAGCGAACAGG
rnacentral:rRNA from 1 species